UAUAUAUAAGUGUAAAGAGCACAAAAAAUUUUGAUUUUUUAAGGGAUGGUUGAAGUCCAUUGUGUAUAA
rnacentral:tRNA from 1 species